rnacentral:rRNA from 1 species
GACGAACGCUGGCGGUGUGCUUAACACAUGCAAGUCGAACGGCAACGCCCUACUUUCUUGCUCUUCCCGAGUGCCGAUCGCGUGCGUAACACGUGUGCAUCCUGCCCUUCUCUUUCGUAUAACUUCACGAAACUGAGCCUACUCCCGUAUCGCAUCCGCCCCAGCGUGGAGAGCGUGGGAACGUUGCGGCUGUUGGGGAUGGACUCGCGGCUGAUCAGCUUGUUGGUGGGGUAGUGGCUGACCCACGGUUUGGCGGGUAGGCGGCAUGUGAGGGGGACCGGCGACAAUGGGACUGAGAGACGGCCCAGAGUCCAACGGGAGGCAGCAGUGGGGAAUAUGGCACAAUGGGCGGAAGCCUGAGGCAGCAACGCCGGGGGUGGGAUGACGGCCUGCGGGGUGUAAACCGCUGUCGGCUGAGACGAAGCGGGAGUGACGGUACCGGGAGAAGAAGCACCGGCUAACUACGUG